GGUGGCAGCAAUGCCAUAGUGGCGCACGGGUGCGUAACGCGUAACCAACCUGCCCUUGACUGGGGGAUAGCCCGCCGAAAGGCGGAUUAAUACCGCAUAAAAUAAGGUGGCGGCAUCGUCUCUUUAUUAAAGAUUUAUUGGUCAAGGAUGGGGUUGCGUGACAUUAGCUUGUUGGCGGGGUAACGGCCCACCAAGGCGGCGAUGUCUAGGGGAGCUGAGAGGCUGGUCCCCCACACGGGCACUGAGAUACGGGCCCGACUCCUACGGGAGGCAGCAGUAGGGAAUAUUGGGCAAUGGGAGCAAUCCUGACCCAGCCAUGCCGCGUGCAGGAUGAAGGCUUUCUGAGUCGUAAACUGCUUUUGCCAGGGAAGAAUAAGGGGGAUGCGUCCUCCGACGACGGUACCUGGUGAAUAAGCACCGGCUAACUCCGUGCCAGCAGCCGCGGUAAUACGGAGGGUGCGAGCGUUGUCCGGAUUUAUUGGGUUUAAAGGGUGCGUAGGCGGCCGAUUAAGUCUGGGGUGAAAGCCCGUUGCUCAACAACGGAACUGCCCUGGAAACUGGUUGGCUUGAGUACAGACGAGGUUGGCGGAAUGGAUGCUGUAGCGGUGAAAUGCAUAGAUAGCAUCCAGAACCCCGAUUGCGAAGGCAGCUGACUAGGCUGUAACUGACGCUGAGGCACGAAAGCGUGGGGAGCGAACAGGAUUAGAUACCCUGGUAGUCCACGCCGUAAACGAUGGAUACUCGCUGCCGGCGAUACAAUGUCGGUGGCUUAGCGAAAGCGUUAAGUAUCCCACCUGGGGAGUACGCCCGCAAGGGUGAAACUCAAAGGAAUUGACUGGGGCCCG
rnacentral:rRNA from 1 species